rnacentral:rRNA from 1 species
GACGAACGCUGGCGGCGUGCUUAACACAUGCAAGUCGAACGGAAAGGCCCUGCUUUUGUGGGGUGCUCGAGUGGCGAACGGGUGAGUAACACGUGAGUAACCUGCCCUUGACUUUGGGAUAACUUCAGGAAACUGGGGCUAAUACCGGAUAGGAGCUCCUGCUGCAUGGUGGGGGUUGGAAAGUUUCGGCGGUUGGGGAUGGACUCGCGGCUUAUCAGCUUGAUGGUGGAGUAGUGGCUUACCAAGGCUUUGACGGGUAGCCGGCCUGAGAGGGUGACCGGCCACCUUGGGACUGCGAGACGGCCCAGACUCCUACGGGAGGCAGCAGUGGGGAAUAUUGCACAGUGGGCGGAAGCCUGAUGCAGCAACGCCGCGUGCGGGAUGACGGCCUUCGGGUUGUAAACCGCUUUCGCCUGUGACGAAGCGUGAGUGACGGUAAUGGGUAAAGAAGCACCGGCUAACUACGUG